rnacentral:rRNA from 1 species
CACGUAGGGGGCGAGCGUUGUCCGGAUUUAUUGGGCGUAAAGAGCUCGUAGGCGGCUCGGUAAGUGAGGUGUGAAAAACUCCAGGCUCAACCUGGAGACGCCACCUCAUACUGCCGUGGCUAGAGUCCGGUAGGGGGAGCAUGGAAUUCCUGGUGUAGCAGUGAAAUGCGUAGAUAUCAGGAAGAACACCCGUGGCUAAGGCGGCUCUCUAGUACGGUACUGACGCUGAGACGCGAAAGCGUGGGGGAGCGAACAGG